CUUCACACCCUGCUCACUUCCAUUGGGGUCCUCCUGUCACCUGGGAUUCCCCCCACACAACACGUACUGCCCGUGGCCUCCCCUCUGCACCUACACGCACAGGAAGGAGCCCGGUCUCCCCCACCCGCAGCGAACCCAAACGGUGCAGAGGGGCUGAGCCAGAGCCGCUGACUUCCUCCCGGGCCAGGAGAGCACGGCAGCCGCAGGAGAUGUGCCGCGGGCGGCGCUGCUGGAGCCUCGGCUCCCUCCUGCUGCUGCUGCUGCUGCUGCUGCUGGGGCAAAACCUGGCUCUUCUCAUCGAGAUCCCGCAGGAUGCGGUCAAUGGCACCGUGGGGCAGUCCGUGCUCCUGCCCGUCUCCUACAGAGUCAACAGCUCCUUUCCCUUCCCACUGUCAAUUCAGUGGAAGUUUGGGAACAGCUCGCAAGUGCUCAUCACCUGCACGGUGCUGAACUGCUCCCUGGAUGCUGAAGGAGCUCCCGAGAAAUGCUCUGCACAAUAUUUCCCUCACAUCCCAUACCGGCACCGCAUUGAGGUCUUCCCUGAGAACGCAUCCCUGCUGCUGCGGGACCUGCAGCUCAGUGACAGCGGGGUGUACAGCAUUGCCUUCCAACAGCAAAUGCAAAGCGGGCAGAUCAGCCUGGCAGUGCACAAGCAGCAUGUUUCCACUGGGCAUCCUGACAAAGGCACAGAGCGAGGAGCGGGAGGUACGGCUGCACGCAUCCCUUGCUACAGCCUUGGAGCCUGCUACUGCUUCAUCCUGCUGCUCCUGCAGCUGCUCUUCCACCUGCUGUGCCUGCGGGGUGGCUGCCAGCAGCAGAGCCGACCUGGAGCAACAUGAGGCUGGUGCUGGGGAGAAGAGAGCUGGCGAGUGGGAGCAGACAGAGCUGGCACCUCAGGACACAGCAGUGCCCAGGCACAACGAGUGUGCUCAGCAGUGCGUCGGGCUGUUUUCCCUGGCACCAGUCGCUGUGCUGGAGAAACCCAGGCGUCCACAAGCACCUGUCCCUGCCUGCAGUUUGAAACUACUUCCCCACUCCCAUUUCCCCACCAUUAAGUAACUCUUCCCCUGGGCAAAUAAACGUCCCUUCCUCCACCA
rnacentral:lncRNA from 1 species